AUUGAACGCUGGCGGCAUGCCUUACACAUGCAAGUCGAACGGUAACAGGUCUUCGGAUGCUGACGAGUGGCGAACGGGUGAGUAAUACAUCGGAACGUGCCCGAUCGUGGGGGAUAACGAAGCGAAAGCUUUGCUAAUACCGCAUACGAUCUACGGAUGAAAGCAGGGGACCGCAAGGCCUUGCGCGAACGGAGCGGCCGAUGGCAGAUUAGGUAGUUGGUGGGAUAAAAGCUUACCAAGCCGACGAUCUGUAGCUGGUCUGAGAGGACGACCAGCCACACUGGGACUGAGACACGGCCCAGACUCCUACGGGAGGCAGCAGUGGGGAAUUUUGGACAAUGGGCGAAAGCCUGAUCCAGCCAUGCCGCGUGCAGGAUGAAGGCCUUCGGGUUGUAAACUGCUUUUGUACGGAACGAAAAGACUCUGGUUAAUACCUUGGGCUAAUGACGGUACCGUAAGAAUAAGCACCGGCUAACUACGUGCCAGCAGCCGCCGCUGUAA
rnacentral:rRNA from 1 species